GUGCCAGCCGCCGCGGUAAUUCCAGCUCCAAUAGCGUAUAUUAAAGUUGUUGUGGUUAAAAAGCUCGUAGUUGAACCUUGGGCCUGGCUGGCCGGUCCGCCUCACCGCGUGCACUGGUCCGGCCGGGCCUUUCCCUCUGUGGAACCCCAUACCCUUCACUGGGCGUGGCGGGGAAACAGGACAUUUACUUUGAAAAAAUUAGAGUGCUCCAGGCAGGCCUAUGCUCGAAUACAUUAGCAUGGAAUAAUAAAAUAGGACGCGCGGUUCUAUUUUGUUGGUUUAUAGGACCGCCGUAAUGAUUAAUAGGGACAGUCGGGGGCAUCAGUAUUCAACUGUCAGAGGUGAAAUUCUUGGAUCAGUUGAAGACUAACUACUGCGGAAGCAUUUGCCAAGGAUGUUUUCAUUAAUCAGGAACGAAAGUUAGGGGAUCGAAGACGAUCAGAUACCGUCGUAGUCUUAACCAUAAACUAUGCCGACUAGGGAUCGGACGGUGUUAUUCAUGACCCGUUCGGCACCUUACGAGAAAUCAAAGUGCUUGGGCUCCAGGGGGAGUAUGGUCGCAAGGCUGAAACUUAAAGAAAUUGACGGAAGGGCACCACCAGGGGUGAGCCUGCGGCUUAAUUUGACUCAACACGGGGAAACUCCACCAGGUCCAGACACAUAGGAUUGACAGAUUGAGAGCUCUUUCUUGAUUUUGUGGGUGGUGUGCAUGGCCGUUCUUAGUUGGUGGGGGUGACUUGUCUGCUUAAUUGCGAUACGACGAGA
rnacentral:rRNA from 1 species